ACCACAGUCACGGACAGGAAUGUUCCACACGCUGGUCUACAAUCAAAAGACUGUAUCUAACGGCUUUUUUAUUUCUCUUCAUAUCAAUUUGCUUUACAAAAACACAUAUAAACUAUCUAUAUAUAAAAAUUACUUUCGAUCUUCAACAAUCGGUGACAUUCAAACAAUCUCAAAUCUCGUUGGCAUGUAAAAUUUAUAUAGGUACCGCACAUAUAGAUAUCUUAUAUACACUAGAUAGCGCAUCUUUUUUAGUAAAAUUGAAGCCAAGAAUAUUCCAGCGGUUAUUCCCAUUUGAAUAGAUGGCGGC